CCUACGGGAGGCAGCAGUGGGGAAUAUUGCACAAUGGGGGAAACCCUGAUGCAGCGACGCCGCGUGAGUGAAGAAGGAUGUCGGGAUGUAAAGCUCUAGCAGCAGGGAAGAAAAUGACGGUACCUGAGUAAGAAGCCCCGGCUAACUACGGGCCAGCAGCCGCGGUAAUACGUAGGGGGCAAGCGUUAUCCGGAUUUACUGGGUGUAACGGGAGCGUAGACGGCAGCACCAGUCUGGAGUGAAAUGCCGGGGCUUAACCCCGGAACUGCUUUGGAAACGGUGCAGCUAGAGUGCAGGCGAGGUCAGUUGACUUCCUCGUGUAGCGGUGACCUGCGUAGCUAUU
rnacentral:rRNA from 1 species